GGCACGGUACGAAACCCGUGGGCGAACGAAAGUGAAGGCCCGCCCCCGGUGGGCCGAGGUGAGAUCCCUUGCCUCUCGAGGCCGGGGCGCAUCACCGGCCUGUCCGGGACCUCGGUCCUGGGCAGAGCAGGAGCGUACACGUUGGGACCCGAAAGAUGGUGAACUAUGCCCGAGUAGGUUGAAGCCAGAGGAAACUCUGGUGGAGGACCGUAGCGGUUCUGACGUGCAAAUCGAUCGUCAAACUUGGGUAUAGGGGCGAAAGACUAAUCGAACCGUCUAGUAGCUGGUUCCCUCCGAAGUUUCCCUCAGGAUAGCUGGCGCCCUCAGUCGGAUUUUUAUCCGGUAAAGCGAAUGAUUAGAGGCCUUGGGGGCGAAACGCCCUCAACCUAUUCUCAAACUUUAAAUGGGUAAGAAGAGGCUUCCUGCUCGAGUGAGGAGUCUCCUUUGAAUCCGGGCGGCCAAGUGGGCCACUUUUGGUAAGCAGAACUGGCGCUGUGGGAUGAACCAAACGCCCGGUUAAGGCGCCCAAAUCGACGCUCAUGAGACACCAUAAAAGGCGUUGGUUGAUAUAGACAGCAGGACGGUGGCCAUGGAAGUCGGAACCCGCUAAGGAGUGUGUAACAA
rnacentral:rRNA from 1 species